rnacentral:rRNA from 1 species
UACAGAGGUCUCAAGCGUUGUUCGGAUUCAUUGGGCGUAAAGGGUACGUAGGUGGCGCCGUAAGUCGGGGUGUGAAAUUUCGGAGCUUAACUCCGAAACUGCAUUCGAUACUGCGGUGCUUGAGGACUGGAGAGGAGACUGGAAUUCAUGGUGUAGCAGUGAAAUGCGUAGAGAUCAUGAGGAAGACCAGUGGCGAAGGCGGGUCUCUGGACAGUUCCUGACACUGAGGCACGAAGGCCAGGGGAGCAAAACGGG